UACAGAGGGUGCGAGCGUUGUUCGGAAUUAUUGGGCGUAAAGGGCGCGUAGGCGGUGCGGUGAGUCACCUGUGAAAUCUCCUGGCUCAAACUGGGAGCUUGCAGGCGAAACUGCCGUGCUGGAGUGUGGGAGAGGUGCGUGGAAUUCCUGGUGUAGCGGUGAAAUGCGUAGAGUAUCAAGGAGGAACACCUGUGGCGAAAGCGGCGCACUGGACCACAACUGACGCUGAGGCGCGAAAGCUAGGGGAGCAAACAG
rnacentral:rRNA from 1 species